GUGGGGAAUAUUGGGCAAUGGGCGAAAGCCUGGCCCAGCAACGCCGCGUGAAGGAAGAAGGUCUUCGGAUUGUAAACUUCUGUCAUUGGGGACGAAGGAAGUGACGGUACCCGAUGAGGAAGCCCCGGCUAACUACGUGCCAGCAGCCGCGGUAAUACGUAGGGGGCGAGCGUUGUCCGGAAUUACUGGGCGUAAAGGGUGCGUAGGCGGCGAUGCAAGUCCAUUGUGAAAAGCCCGGGCUUAACCUGGGAGGUGCAGUGGAAACUGUAUGGCUUGAGUGCAGGAGAGGAAAGUGGAAUUCCUAGUGUAGCGGUGAAAUGCGUAGAUAUUAGGAGGAACACCAGUGGCGAAGGCGGCUUUCUGGACUGUAACUGACGCUGAGGCACGAAAGCGUGGGGAGCAAACAGGAUUAGAUACCCGAGUAGUCC
rnacentral:rRNA from 1 species